GGGGAUUUAGCUCAGUGGCACAGCACCUGCCUGGCAAGCAUGAGGUCCUGAGUUUGAUCCCCA
rnacentral:tRNA from 1 species